GGCCGGAUGGUAUAGUGGUGAAGACGCCUCUGCUCUCCGCGGAUUUUGGUUACCUUCCCCUAGAGAAGCUAGGGCGUGUUGUACAACAGAUGCGGAGAGCACACAGAGGAGACUCGGGUUCGAUUCCCGGUCUGGCCA